ensembl:snRNA U2 U2 spliceosomal RNA
GUUGUUCCUUUGGGUUUUGGCCCAAGAUCAUUAUCUGUUCAUAUCAUUUAGCAUCUCGUAAAUCCUCUACCUGAGGAUGCUUUUAUUAAAUGGAAUUUUGGAACAGGGAGAUAAACUCGAGGCUCUCUCCGUCCAUUCCCCAAGUCCACCAGGUGCCGAAGUUCCUCCAUGAAGGGUGUGGUUCUU